rnacentral:rRNA from 1 species
CACCAAUGACUCUUCGGGCGCAAGCGUGAUCCAGCCAUGCCGCGUGAGUGAUGAAGGCCUUAGGGUUGUAAAGCUCUUUUGUCCGGGACGAUAAUGACGGUACCGGAAGAAUAAGCCCCGGCUAACUUCGUGCCAGCAGCCGCGGUAAUACGAAGGGGGCUAGCGUUGCUCGGAAUCACUGGGCGUAAAGGGCGCGUAGGCGGCUUUUUAAGUCGGGGGUGAAAGCCUGUGGCUCAACUCCAGAAUUGCCUUCGAUACUGGUUGGCUUGAAUCCGGAAGAGGACAGUGGAACUGCGAGUGUAGAGGUGAAAUUCGUAGAUAUUCGCAAGAACACCAGUGGCGAAGGCGGCUGACUGGUCCGGUUCUGACGCUGAGGCGCGAAAGCGUGGGGAGCAAACAGGAUUAGAUACCCUGGUAGUCCACGCCGUAAACGAUGAUGGCCAGCCGUUGGGUUACUUGCAGGUCAGGGGGGCCGCUAACGCAUUAAGCUUUUCGCCUGGGGAGUACGGUCGCAAGAUUAAAACUCAAAUGAAUUGACGGGGGAAU